AUAGCCUCCCUCCCAGACCUGGCGGAGCUCCCUGGACCUGCUGGAUAUCUGUAGCCUCUUGUGUUGGCGAGGGUGAGAUGGACAAGCAGAUCUCUGGUUCAGGGUCCACAAACUGAUCAGAACAUGCAUGCAGGAGUCUAACAUGUGGUGUAAAGCAGCAUCCAGAUUCUGAAAAAGAUGGCUGGCUCUUGUUAUCAUCCAGAAACAGGAUGACAGAACAGGACUGGCCUCUAUCAAUAUCUUACAGCAGGUGGUUCAAAGAUUUUAACAGACAAAAUCACAACCUAAAAGAACCUCAGGGUGAAUAUGUUCACAGGCAGUAAUCUUUUUUUUAAUUUUUUUUUUUUGGAGGGGGGCUUCAAAAAACAGACUUUCUCUGUGAAACAAUCCUGGCUGUUCAGGAACUCUUCAGACCAGGCUGGCCUUGAACUCACAAAGAUCCACCUACCUCUGCUAGGACUAAAGGCAUGCACCACCACCGAUGGACCAGUUAGUAAACUUAUCCUUGUAGUGAGACAAGUGUCAUCACUCACCCCUACCUGAGCAGACAUGUUAAAGCUGGUUUCUCCCAACUUCUGUUGAGAGACUCAGUCAAUGGCUUGAAAGGCCAACAAGGUCACAAUGAAAUUCUUUUCCUUUUCUGAGAACCAAUUGUUAAACAUCUACCAGCACACCAUUGAUAAAAUUCAUCACACAAAACUG